GGGCCUAAUCAGAUAUCUUUAUUAUCCAAAUGAUAAUAAUACACUGUCAUCUGAAAAAGGCACAAUUCUUGUAUUGGAUAAGGAAUGAAAUACUUCCAUAUUACUAAUAUAACUUAUAAUUAUAAAGAUAAUUUUUCAGGUGAGAAAUGAGGGUUAUUUUCCAGUAUAUAAAGAAAAAUAGGGAUGGAAAGAAAUUUUAUGAAAAACUGUAGUUAUAUUUACUAGUUAUCAGUAUAUUAUUUAACAGGACUAACUGGAAACACUACAUCUUGAAAAUGUCAUCAAAAGUUCUGGGAUUCUAAAGCUUGGAAGACUUUUUUUCAUUUUUAAAAAUUUUAUUGUGUUGCUGAUUUUUAGAAUACUUUUUUUUUUUUUUUUUUUUGCCAUGGCAUGCUGUGGCUUAAUGUGGGAUCUCAGUUCCCAGACCAGGGAUUGAACCCAGCUGCAAUGGUGAAAGCAAUGAAUCCUAACCACUAGAGCAUGAGGGAACUCCCCUGGAAGACAUACACCUGACAUUGAAAAACGAAAAUUUUGUGUGGCAAUCAUGUUAUGGUAUAGAAAAAUAUGAAAAGUUGGAGAAUAAAGUCCGAAGUUCCUCAUAUGAAGCGACUUAGUGGUUUCAGAAGCACUCACAGCUGAGGCCUAUGAAUUGUGUUAUACUUUUUAUCUACAGAAUAAAAUUUGUAAGCAUUAUAUAUCAUAUGAAUUAACUUCUCAUGUCUUUAUUGUAUGCAAAAGCAAUAAAACAAAGUGCAAGAACAAUAAUGUUUAAAUAUUAGCAGCAAUUGGAAUGAAAGUAAAUUUAUGAUCAGGAUAAAAUGUUAUUUGCUGAAAGCAAAGCCGUAUUACACUGCUUGAUACUGGAUACUUUAAUCUGAAAUGUUAAAUAUGUUAAUAAACAUAAAGAAUGUUAAAGAUGCUUGUCAUACGUUAGUAACUAGUGUUUUUAUGGUCACUUUAGCACGUGAUUCUGUGGUUAUAUUUGCAUUGUACCUUUAAAGAGGAUGGCAUAGUUACCUUUCAUUUUUGAAUACUUUGGCCAAAAGAUGUAGUUGAAGUACUUUCAUUUUUAUGGGAGAAAAUGUGAAAAGCAUGAUGUUCUUUGAGAAAAAAUGAAUUAGAGCAGCAUUGCAGGUAGUUUAGAAUAUCUAACCAUUUAAUAUUUUUCCAUUUAUCUCAGUCAGAUUUAACCAGUGACUAGCGAGUGUUAUCGAUUUGAGGACAGGUAAUUUCAGUGCUUUUGACUUGUUUUAUUUCUCAUUUUUAGGCUAUGACUGUAAUGAAUCUCUAAUAAUUAUGACUGAGUAAUAUUCUCAGCUAUUCUGACUGUUUGAACCUAUUACUAAAUAAUCUGUUUCCAUUGAUGAUUAUAUAUUCAUUUAAGGAUCUUUUGUUACAUUCUGGAGGUUUAAGAUACUAUAGAAUAUAACUAAGAGCAUGAUAUUCUUUUGCUUAAGUUCUCAUUUUGAAUCAAAAAUAAUAAAUUUUUGAUUCAUUUUUCUCUUACAUAAGAAGUAUAAACAUUAAAAAAUCUGGAAGUAGUAUGUCAGGUUUUUUGAUUAAGCUAUUGAGAUCAUAAUCUUGAGAAAGAAACAUGUAUAUUAAAAAAACCCAUCUGGAUAUUGAAUUACCAAAACAUAUUAUUAAAUUAUUGGUAAAUAUGAAUUUGUUCAUAAUUUUAUUUAGCUAGUCAAGAGCACAUGGUAGAAGGCAAUUCUGUUUGUUAACAUGUUCAUCAUAUCUCCACUUUUUAACUUUCUGGUAUGUGAAAUUCUUCUGGUAAAAUUUUUUGUAUGUUUAAGAUUUUAUAUGUAAUAAUAAUGAUCAUAUAUUUUAUUUAAGAAUAAUAUCUAAAUGCUUAAAUUAUCCACCAUACCUGAGCAAAAACAAUUUAAAAAAAGAAAUAAUUAUAGUUAUCAUGGUAGAUGAUCAGCUAAUUAGUGGUAAUUUAAAUUCAAUAAAUGCAUACACUGAAAUUUAAUGAGAUUUCAUAGCAUUGUCAACUUUUUAAUGUAUAAAUUCAAAAAUUCUUUUCCUUUUCAGAUUGUUGAAUUUUUAAAAUGUUAUUGAUACCACAGAUUCAAUUUGUUCGUUUAUUUAUAUAUUUAUUUUUGGUUACAAAUUUUGCAAAUUAUCUUGCUGGCUAGUGUGUGAUUGAGACUGAGAUGUUUUCCAUUUUUAGAUAUUUCCAUGUGAAACACUCAGAGAAGUAAUCCUGCACAUCUUUUAAGCAGUCAGUGACCUUAUCUUUUGCCAAAAUCAAAUGACAUUCAAUACUGAUACUACGGAGAGAGGAAUCAAAAUAGACACCUAAUUAUAAUUACUUUUUCCCCAUCAUUAUAUCACUACGUGCAGAACAACUGAUUUUUAAGAGAUCACACAACUGCUGAAUUUUGGCAGGUACAAAGGAUUUUUUUCUUUGCUUCUCUCACCCUCCUCCUUCCUGCUUUCCCCACAUGUAGGAUUUAUUGGAAGAGUUCAGACUGACCUCUUUCUUGAAAGAUUUAGUUUGAAUUUAACAGUUUAUAGGAAAUGGAAGUGCAAAAGAAAGUUGAUAUGUUUAUGAUUGCUUCAAAUUCUUAUAAAUCCUUAACCAUACAUGUACAGUUCAAUUGUUAAGAGAGUAAAGAUGGUUUAGGGUAAUCUUGUGAAAAUGACUAUGAAGCCUUGGACCAAAUAUUAUAUGGUUAGUUUCCAGAGUUACUGCUUUUGGAACAAAAUCCAGCUGUGAGCAAUAUGAAGGCAGAGACUACAACCUCUUAACUUUUCAGACCUAGUAUAUAGUACUACAUAGUAGAUAUUCAAUAGUUGCUGAAAGAGCAAAAGAAGAUAGGAUGUGAGGGAAGAAGGAAGGAGAAAAAAAACCUAGGUUUACUGGACAAAGUGAUAAUUCCAGUGUUGUGUGUGUGUUUCUGUGUGUCUGUGUGUAUUUUGGCUGAUGCAUUGCUCUCCCAGACCAAAAACUAACAGGGAUAUGAUAUUUAGACUGAUAGUGAACAUGGUAUAACUUUGAGAAACCUGUUAUUACAGGGGUUUAAGUACUUUUAUUUGCUAUCAGUUCACAGUGGCUCAAUAUUUUUUCUUCCUGUUUAUUUUUGUUGGAUACUAUUGGGAAUAAUAUAAAUAAGUUUGCUUAUGACAUUUCGAGGAAAGUUUUGAUGAUGACUAUCAUGUUUAUUGUCUCUUCUCUUAAAACUACAGAUCCCUUUGACCAGUUCUCCUUUUGAAUGGGUUGAGUACCAUCUAACAGUAGGGACUACCACUUCCUGGUCAACCUCUUUGACCACACUAAGACAUUUCAAAUACUCUGUAACACGUAUAUGGUAUUUAAGAGUCAGAGAUAUCUGCUGGUUAGUCCAUUGACAGAAAAUCGUUUAUUACUCAUUUUAUUUCUUUAUUUAUUUAUGCAUGCUUUUUAGGAUUGCACCUCUGCAGCUCUGAUUUGACCCCUAUCCUGGGAACUUCUAUAUGUCGUGAGUGCGGCCCUAAAAAGACCAAAAAAAAAAAAAAAAAAAAA
rnacentral:lncRNA from 1 species